rnacentral:rRNA from 1 species
GAUGAACGCUGGCGGCGUGCCUAAUACAUGCAAGUCGAGCGAACGGACGAGAAGCUUGCUUCUCUGAUGUUAGCGGCGGACGGGUGAGUAACACGUGGAUAACCUACCUAUAAGACUGGGAUAACUUCGGGAAACCGGAGCUAAUACCGGAUAAUAUUUUGAACCGCAUGGUUCAAAAGUGAAAGACGGUCUUGCUGUCACUUAUAGAUGGACCCGCGCUGCAUUAGCUAGUUGGUAAGGUAACGGCUUACCAAGGCAACGAUGCAUAGCCGACCUGAGAGGGUGAUCGGCCACACUGGAACUGAGACACGGUCCAGACUCCUACGGGAGGCAGCAGUAGGGAAUCUUCCGCAAUGGGCGAAAGCCUGACGGAGCAACGCCGCGUGAGUGAUGAAGGUCUUCGGAUCGUAAAACUCUGCUAUUAGGGAAGAACAUAUGUGUAAGUAACUGUGCACAUCUUGACGGUACCUAAUCAGAAAGCCACGGCUAACUACGUGCCAGCAGCCGCGGUAAUACGUAGGUGGCAAGCGUUAUCCGGAAUUAUUGGGCGUAAAGCGCGCGUAGGCGGUUUUUUAAGUCUGAUGUGAAAGCCCACGGCUCAACCGUGGAGGGUCAUUGGAAACUGGAAAACUUGAGUGCAGAAGAGGAAAGUGGAAUUCCAUGUGUAGCGGUGAAAUGCGCAGAGAUAUGGAGGGACACCAGUGGCGAAGGCGACUUUCUGGUCUGUAACUGACGCUGAUGUGCGAAAGCGUGGGGAUCAAACAGGAUUAGAUACCCUGGUAGUCCACGCCGUAAACGAUGAGUGCUAAGUGUUAGGGGGUUUCCGCCCCUUAGUGCUGCAGCUAACGCAUUAAGCACUCCGCCUGGGGAGUACGACCGCAAGGUUGAAACUCAAAGGAAUUGACGGGGACCCGCACAAGCGGUGGAGCAUGUGGUUUAAUUCGAAGCAACGCGAAGAACCUUACCAAAUCUUGACAUCCUUUGACAACUCUAGAGAUAGAGCUUUCCCCUUCGGGGGACAAAGUGACAGGUGGUGCAUGGUUGUCGUCAGCUCGUGUCGUGAGAUGUUGGGUUAAGUCCCGCAACGAGCGCAACCCUUAAGCUUAGUUGCCAUCAUUAAGUUGGGCACUCUAAGUUGACUGCCGGUGACAAACCGGAGGAAGGUGGGGAUGACGUCAAAUCAUCAUGCCCCUUAUGAUUUGGGCUACACACGUGCUACAAUGGACAAUACAAAGGGCAGCGAAACCGUGAGGUCAAGCAAAUCCCAUAAAGUUGUUCUCAGUUCGGAUUGUAGUCUGCAACUCGACUACAUGAAGCUGGAAUCGCUAGUAAUCGUAGAUCAGCAUGCUACGGUGAAUACGUUCCCGGGUCU